rnacentral:rRNA from 1 species
AUUGAACGCUGGCGGCAUGCUUUACACAUGCAAGUCGAACGGCAGCGGGGGCUUCGGCCUGCCGGCGAGUGGCGAACGGGUGAGUAAUGCAUCGGAACGUGCCCAUGUCGUGGGGGAUAACGUAUCGAAAGGUACGCUAAUACCGCAUACGCCCUGAGGGGGAAAGCGGGGGAUUCUUCGGAACCUCGCGCGAUUGGAGCGGCCGAUGUCGGAUUAGCUAGUAGGUGAGGUAAAGGCUCACCUAGGCGACGAUCCGUAGCGGGUCUGAGAGGAUGAUCGGCCACACUGGGACUGAGACACGGCCCAGACUCCUACGGGAGGCAGCAGUGGGGAAUUUUGGACAAUGGGCGCAAGCCUGAUCCAGCCAUGCCGCGUGAGUGAAGAAGGCCUUCGGGUUGUAAAGCUCUUUCGGCCGGGAAGAAAUCGUGUUCUCUAACAUAGGACAUGGAUGACGGUACCGGACUAAGAAGCACCGGCUAACUACGUGCCAGCCGCCGCUGUAACAC